UGGGGAAUAUUGGACAAUGGGCGCAAGCCUGAUCCAGCAAUGCCGCGUGUGUGAAGAAGGCCUUCGGGUUGUAAAGCACUUUUAUCUGGAGCGAAAUCUGCAGGGCUAAUACCCAUGCAGUCUGACGGUACCAGAGGAAUAAGCACCGGCUAACUUCGUGCCAGCAGCCGCGGUAAUACGUAGGGUGCGAGCGUUAAUCGGAAUUACUGGGCGUAAAGCGUGCGCAGGCGGUGAUGUAAGACAGGUGUGAAAUCCCCGGGCUUAACCUGGGAAUUGCAUUUGUGACUGCAUCGCUGGAGUGCGGCAGAGGGGGAUGGAAUUCCGCGUGUAGCAGUGAAAUGCGUAGAGAUCGGGAGGAACACCAGUGGCGAAGGCGGCUACCUGGACCAGCACUGACACUGAGUCACGAAAGCGUGGGGAGCAAACA
rnacentral:rRNA from 1 species